AUUGACUUUCCGAAUGGAUGGGUCUGGUGCGGUUUUAACGUAGAAAUGGUUUGGGGUGGUUUGGUUUUGGACUCAAACGCUUUGGUUUUGUAUGGGCUGAACCCGUGGAUUCCCUCUGGGCUCGACCCGUGGGCAGAGGAGCAGCUAGCGUCGUGUCCAGCGUCUUCUCCGUCUUCCCCAGAUCCUUGCUGGGGGCCUAGGGUUGCGCCGCCGCCGUCUCCCCCAUCCGGCGCUCCACCGCCGGCGUACCUAGGGCCGCCGGAUUCCGCGGAUCCGGUCCCUCACGCUGCCUUCCCCCAGGGAUUUCUCUGCCUAGAUCAUCCUCUCAUUGGCUGGCCCUGCUAGCGAUUGUUCCCCAAGGUCCUACUCUGCCACAAGAUUCCACCAGGACAACUUCCUUUUGCUCCAUCCGAUCUCAAUCGAACCGCCCUUCACUAAAUCGGUAAGCAAUGUUAGAUUCUGUUUUUGGAUGAAUCCGAGGAUUGCUUUCCAGAAUUUUCGUUUUACUCCCGUUUUUGUUGUUCAAGUAGGUGCAGUACUAAUUGAAUACCUAUUUUAUUUGAAGGUACUGAUUGAGUAAAUGUACUUAAUUUGGCCGUUGGCUUCAAGUACUGCUUACAGGUGAUUAUUCACAUGUCCUAAUUUAUUUUUUAUUGUCUGUUCUGCUCACUAUGUUUAUGCAGAAUUCCCUAAUGCAUUGCUUGAAUGUAUAGAGAAUUAACUACUAAAUACUAAUAUUAAUUUCACAUAUACAGCAUGAGAGAUGGUUAUUUUGAUAGGGCAGUUGGUCCUUUGCUAAGAUGUUAUUACAGAUUGACAGCACAUGUCCACUGCCUCCUCCUAGUCACCGAGACCUUCCACAUCUGCCCUGUGAGUGUAUCUUAGUUGUGUUGUAGAACUGCAAGUUUGUCCUGCUUAAUAUGGUCUGAUGCAAAUGGUUUUUUUUUUCGUUAGGAAAACAUAACCGUUGAUACUAGAGUUUCUUGUUAUGUCAUGAGAUGUUGUCUGUCAUUACUGAAUGUGCAAUGCCAAUCAUGCAGCCAGAGCAUGAUAGUCUCUGCAUGUAUAUCUUCUAGUUAUGUGAAGCUUGUAUGAAUAUAUGAAAAAUCUGAAGCUUAUCAGUGAAGCUUAUCUGAAUAACUAUGUAUGUAAAAUCUCAAAAGUUAUAUGUGUGUAGCUACUGUUAGUUCAGAAUUAAUUGAACUGAAGCUUAAUUAUGUCGACACUAAUUCCUGAUGUUUCAUCCCUGUAUAGAUAUCACAUGGGCCUCCCCUGCUAUGCAAAUAAUUUCCUUUCUAUAAGCAGAUCACUCCAUGUUUCAGGUGGUGAAGUGUUCACACAAAUCAUUGUACAAGUGUUGAAUGGAAGGAGUCCAUGAAGAUGGUGACAAAAUUGGUGUAAAAAGAUGGGGCUUUUGCUCACUGACCAGAUGCACUGAAGCUAUGGACCCUAGUAAAGUUACUUUGUGUAGUUACUCCUAGAAAUCAUGUCUAAUGAAGUAAUAAUUCAAUCUAUGUAACUAACCGUUAAUUAAGCAGACAUUUGAUGGGACUUGAUAGUUGCGAUUGUUUGCCUGGAAGGAUUUUUUUUUUUUGCAAUUGUCAUUUCACAUUACAUAAUAUUUGUUUCAUUUGGAUAGCAGGGUUAACCUGUACUGCACCUUUAAUGUUUCACUUUAAGAGCUGAAGUACCGAAUCCAACAGCCAGCACGUCUGCAUGCGCAUCGUGGAUUGUGAGCUAAACUAUCGAUGGCUCUUCUAGUGUGUGUACCGUGGUUCCGAAAUGGUCUGAAAUGGUUUGCCCAGUCCAUUUGGUUGAUUCGGGUUGGAUGUAGAUCGCGUACGAGUUGGUCUGGACUGGAUCGAAGGGUCUAGUGUUUGGGGUGGAUGCAGAUUGGUUUUAUGUAUUGUCUUAUCUGGUUUGGUGCGGGUAUGGUCCGGAUUUCAAACCAUUACCAGGCCUAAGUUGGCCCGGCGAGUAUGCCGGAAUCCGGGCCGAAGGUAGCAGCGGAUGACGAUGAGGCCCCCGCCGCCACUGUUUGGCCGGGGAGGGCAUCGUCCGCUUGCUGCGGAGCCUCCUCCACGCCCGCGCCCAUGGGUUGCGGGGAUGGCGGAGUUGCCGUUUCCCCGGCAGGAGACGCCUCCUGCGGGAUCCGCGUCCCCGGCCUGAACGGCCCGGGACGCGCUGCCAAGCUUCGCCCCGAUAGCACCGGCGGGCGCCUCCACCGUUGCGUCCGCCGCGGGGGAGCUGGGGGCAGGAGCCCCUUCUGGCUCCUCCCUCGUCCUUGCGUCCUCGGCGUCAGAGCCGAAGUCAACCACCACCGUGCCCGC
rnacentral:lncRNA from 1 species